rnacentral:rRNA from 1 species
GAUGAACGCUGGCGGCGUGCCCAAUACAUGCAAGUCGAGCGCACGGACGAGAUGCUUGCAUCUCUUAGGUUAGCGGCGGACGGGUGAGUAACACGUGGAUAACCUACCUAUAAGACUGGGAUAACAUCGGGAAACCGGUGCUAAUACCGGAUGAUAUUUUGAACCACAUGGUUCAAGAGUGAAAGAUGGUCUUGCUGUACCCAAUAAAUAUAUCCGCUCUGCAUUAGCAAUUUGGUAAGUUAACGGCUAACCAAGGCAACGAUCAAUACCCGACUUGGGAGGGGGAUGGCCCACACUGGAAUUGAGACACGGUCCAAACUCCUACGGGAGGCAGCAGAAGGGAAUCUUCGGCAAUGGGCGAAAGCCGGACGGAGCAACGCCGCGUGAGUGAUGAAGGUCUUCGGAUCGUAAAACUCUGUUAUUAGGGAAGAACAUAUGUGUAAGUAACUGUGCACAUCUUGACGGUACCUAAUCAGAAAGCCACGGCUAACUACGUG